AGACAGCUAGUUUAAGAAAAACCUUUGAUUUCGGCUCAAAAGCUUGUGGUUAGAAUCCAUAGCUGCCUA
rnacentral:tRNA from 1 species